UUAUUAAUUAGUUUUCAGAAAGUUAUUUUCGACCAUUUCCCUUCAAAAACCCUAACCCUCUCUCUGUCUCCCACUCCGCCCAUCGCCGAUGCCCCGCCGCCCCCCAUUUUUCUAUUCUGUUCUCUCAUAGCUUCAUCCUCUUGUGAGGCAUUGCUAGUUUCUCCCAUUCUUCUUCUCAACAAGGAACCAACAGGUCUGUCUUCCUUCUCCUCCCACUUCUUACACUCAUGUCUAACUUCUUUCGCACAAUCCUUCUACUUAGAUCUCCAUCCUCACUCUUUUCUCACGGAUUUUCCCAAAGUCCGUUCAAAUCUCUCAGAUACUUAUCCACCUCUUCUGAGAUUGUAUCAUCUCCCAAAUCUGCUUCGUUGCCUUCUAAUGCUGUUCAGCUCAAUAAUAAUUCGAAGGCUGUAAUUGGGUUACUUGCGAAUCAUGGAUUCUCUGAAUCACAAAUCUCUGACCUUGCCAAGAGGUAUCCUCAAAUUAUUUCUAUGAACCCCGAGAAAAUCCUAUCGCCCAAAUUGUUGUUUUUUCAAUCUAAAGGUCUUUCUUCCCCAGAGAUUGUCAAAUUAGUAUGUUCAGUUCCCUGUGUUUUAACAGGAAGUUUAAACAAACGAAUUAUUCCAUCCUUUGAUUACAUUCAAGCCGUGCUUGGAAGUGAGGAGAAGACUCUCACUGCUAUAAAGCGCUUUCCGGGUAUUCUCGGUUGGGAUCUUCGAACUUCAGUUGGUCCCAAUAUUGAAAUUCUGAAACAAAUUGGAGUGCCGGAUUCAAAUAUUUCAAGUUAUCUUCAGCGGCAGCCUAAAAUGUUCUUAACAAGUUCCAUCCGAUUCAAGAAGGCUGUAGAGAGAGUUACGGAAAUGGGAUUCAACCCUCAACGAUUGCAGUUUGUUGUUGCUGUUUUUGCUCUGCGAUCAAUGACCAAAUCUACAUGGGAUGAGAAGGUUGAAGGUUAUAGGAAAUGGGGAUUGUCUGAAGAAGAGAUCCGUUUAGCUUUUAGAAAAAAUCCACGUUGUAUGAGUGCUUCUGAGGAUAAGAUUAAUGGUGCAAUGGAUUUUUUUGUCAACAAAAUGGGAUGUGAACCAUUUUUGGUUGCUAGAACACCAACUUUAGUUUCAUAUAGUUUGAAGAAGAGGAUUUUGCCUAGAGGCUACGUUUAUCAAGUUUUGGUGUCAAAGUGUUUGAUUAAGAAGUACGCGCAUUUUGCUUUGUUUUUUAACUCUUCUGCAAACCUUUUCAUAGACAAAUUCAUCAACCCUCAUAAGGAGCAGAUUCCUGAAUUGUUGGAGUUGUAUAAAGAGAAAUUAAUGGAUUUAGAAGAUGAACAGAUUUUGGUCAAUUUCAAACGCAAUAAAAUAUGAGAGAGAAAAGAAAAGAAGGGAAAACAGCAGGGAAGAAGAAGAGAACGAGAGAAAAAGAAUAAAGAGGGAAGAGAGAAGAACAAGCGUUGUGACGAGGAAAUAUACUAUAUUGUGAAGGGUUAUGCUUUGUAAAAGGAACAAAGAAAGUCUCCAUGAAGCCCCUACCACCCGAACGCCCAUGGUGACCCAUCCAUCACGCCCAGUGACUUAGCACCCAGCGUUCACACACACCUUCAACUUCCGGCCACUCUUUCAAUAAUUGACACCAGGUUAUUUUUUCUUCUUUUCUUUUCUUGUAUUUUAGAAUUUUUGUUUUGUUAUUGCAAUUAAUUUUAACAGUUAGUUAAUGGGUGUUGCAUAAUUGGUUUCUUCAUAUACUGAAAUCCUUAAUUCGUGUAUUUAGUUGGUUGUAAUGUGACGAACAACGGAAAAUUCCAAGUUACGCCCAUAAUGUGUUUGAUGAAAUGCUUGUAAGAAAGAUGGUUGUACCUUAUUCGGAUUUUUGUGAACAAACACUUCUUUAAUCCAUGUUCGGUAGCAUGUUGAUCUUAGAAGUCCAAAGCGGUCGAAUCUCAUGUAUAUACUUGUGGUGUAUAAAUUAUAAUUUGAAUCUCAAUUUUAACAAUCUAAUUGUUGUUUCAAAAACUUUUCUUUCUUAGUUAUUUCAACUUUUAUUUGCCUCAUUUCAAGAUUUUUUCAACUUUAUCAGUGUGGUUUUUUUCUUAAUGAUGGAUUUUUUUUUAAGAAAAUGAACAAUUUGUUAAGUUUUGAUUCUUCAUUCCAGCUGAGAGAACUCAAAACUCAAGUCCAUUCUCCAUUAAACUCAAAACAUCAUUAAAUACACUGAUUUAGCACAGAGAUUUUCCUUCAAACCUCAGUUAAAGUCACAUGGUUUGGUUUUUGACCAUUUACAACUCUAGAUGGUAGCUGGUUUGGACUAGAGUUUUGGAGACCAAAUUUUAAAUGGAGUCACCUGUGAGAGUUCACCAGCGUGGAAUAGUAUGUGUUGCAUGAGAAAGAAAUUGCGUUCAAUAUUUUAGAGGUUUUUUUUUAAAACUAAAGGGUAAUUUAAACAUCUACAUGUACAUUUGUCCCAAAACUCUUCCUUUUAAAAUUUGGUGUCCAAAACUUUCUUUCCCAUUAGACUUCAACUUUGUCUUUUGUUUUUUUCUAUCGAGUAUUCAGAAACGGGUUGGUUUUAAAAAAAUCUACUUUCGACCAUUUCCCUUCAAAAACCCUAAACCCCUUCCUUCCUUCAUUUUCUCAUUUUCUUUGUUCUCUCUCACUCUCUCACUCUCUCACUCUCCCACUCUGCCGAUCGCCGAUACCCCGCCGUCGCCAAUUUUUCUUUUCUCUUCUCUCAUAGCUUCAUCCUCUUGUGAGGCAUUGCUAGUUUCUCCCAUUCUUCUUCUCAACAAGGAACCAACAGGUCUGUCUUCCUUCUCCUCCCACUUCUUACACUCAUGUCUAACUUCUUUCGCACAAUCCUUCUACUUAGAUCUCCAUCCUCACUCUUUUCUCACGGAUUUUCCCAAAGUCCGUUCAAAUCUCUCAGAUACUUAUCCACCUCUUCUGAGAUUGUAUCAUCUCCCAAAUCUGCUUCGUUGUCUUCUAAUGCUGUUCAGCUCGAGAAUAAUGGGAAGGCUCUAAUUGCGUUACUUGAGAAUCAGGGAUUCUCUCAAUCACAAAUCUCUGACCUUGCCAUGAGGUUUCCUAGAAUUCUUUCUAUGAACCCCGAGAAAAUUCUAUUGCCCAAAUUGUUGUUUCUUCAAUCUAAAGGGCUUUCUUCCCCAGAGGUUGUCAAAAUAGUAUGUACAGUUCCUAAUUUUUUUACAGGAAGUUUAAACAAACGAAUUAUUCCAGCCUUUGAUUAUAUUCAAGCCGUGCUUGGAACUGAGGAGAAGACUCUCAAUGCCAUAAAGCGCUUUGCGGGUGUUCUCGUGAAGGAUCUUCGAAUUUCAGUUGGUCCCAAUAUUGAAAUUCUGAAACAAAUUGGAGUGCCCGAUUCAAAUAUUUUAAAAUAUCUUCAGUACCAGCCUAGAACUUUCUUGAUAAACCCCAUCCGAUUCAAGGAGAUAGUAGAGAGAGUUACGGAAAUGGGAUUCAACCGUCAACAAUUGCAGUUUCUUGUUGCUGUUUUUGCUCUGCGAGCAAUGACCAAAUCUACAUGGGAUAAGAAGGUUGAAGUUUAUAGGAAAUGGGGAUUGUCUGAAGAACAGAUCUGUUCUGCUUUUAGAAGGCAUCCAUGGUGUAUGAUGGGUUCUGAGGAUAAGAUUAAUGGUGCAAUGGAUUUUUUUGUCAACAAAAUGGGAUGCAAAUCAUCUUUCGCUGCUACAAGACCAAUCUUAGUUUCACUUAGUAUGAAGAAGAGGCUUUUGCCUAGAGGCCAUGUUUAUCAAGUUUUGGUGUCAAAGGGAUUGAUUAAAAACGCGAAUUUUACUUCGUUGUUUUGCUCUUCUGAAAAGCGUUUCAUAGAAAAAUACAUCAACCUUCAUAAGGAGCAGAUUCCUGGAUUGUUGGAGUUGUAUGAGCAGAAAUUAGUGGAGUCUAGAAGAUGAACAGGUUCGAUGUUCUUGAAAUGUUAAUAAUUAAACUGUUUGUUAUUAGUUGAAAUGUGUAGUGACAAAGUAGCAACUAAAAUUUAUAUAUGUUAAAGAGAAUGUGUUUCUACAUAAUCAGUUUUUAGAUUGCUAACUAAAUAAUGACUUCUUUAGAACCGCUUUGCCUCAUAUUUGGAUAUUGUCCCUUUGCUCAACAUUGUUGGAGUUUGCAUUAUUUCAGCUU